GGGAAGGUGGCUUAAUGGUAGAGUACUUGCCUCGCAUGCAUGAAGCCCUGAGUUCAAUUUCUCAGUGCCA
rnacentral:tRNA from 1 species